UAGGGAAUAUUGGACAAUGGGUGAGAGCCUGAUCCAGCCAUGCCGCGUGCAGGAAGAAGGCGUUAUGCGUUGUAAACUGCUUUUUGCCAGGGGAUAAAAUGACCGUGCGCGGUUAAUUGAAGGUACCUGGUGAAUAAGCCACGGCUAACUACGUGCCAGCAGCCGCGGUAAUACGUAGGUGGCAAGCGUUGUCCGGAUUUAUUGGGUUUAAAGGGUGCGUAGGUGGCCCUGUAAGUCAGUGGUGAAAUAUCUCAGCUUAACUGAGAGGGUGCCAUUGAUACUGCAGGGCUUGAGUACAGAUGAGGUAGGCGGAAUUGACGGUGUAGCGGUGAAAUGCAUAGAUAUCGUCAAGAACAUCGAUAGCGAAGGCAGCUUACCAAGCUGUAACUGACACUGAGGCACGAAAGUGUGGGGAUCAAACAGGAUUAGAUACCCAAGUAGUCCCUGAGCGGGCUGGCAAGGCG
rnacentral:rRNA from 1 species